rnacentral:rRNA from 1 species
UACGGAGGGUGCAAACGUUGCUCGGAAUCAUUGGGCGUAAAGCGCACGUAGGUGGCCUGUUAAGUCGGGUGUGAAAUCCCUGGGCUCAACCCAGGAAGUGCACUCGAAACUGGCAGGCUUGAGUACUGAAGAGGGUCGCGGAAUUCCCGGUGUAGAGGUGAAAUUCGUAGAUAUCGGGAGGAACACCAGUGGCGAAGGCGACUCACUGGCCCGAUACUGACGCUGAGGCGCGAAAAGCGUGGGGAGCAAACAGG